UCUACGGGUGGCAGCAGUGAGGAAUAUUGGUCAAUGGCCGCAAGACUGAACCAGCCAAGUCGCGUGAGGGAUGACGGUCCUGUGGAUUGUAAACCUCUUUUGUCAGGGAACAAAGGGCGCCACGUGUGGCUCGUUGCGAGUACCUGAAGAAAAAGCAUCGGCUAACUCCGUGCCAGCAGCCGCGGUAAUACGGAGGAUGCGAGAGUUAUCCGGAUUUAUUGGGUUUAAAGGGUGCGCAGGCGGAAUGUCAAGUCAGCGGUAAAAUUUCGGGGCUCAACCCCGUCCUGCCGUUGAAACUGGCAGUCUUGAGUGGGCGAGAAGUAUGCGGAAUGCGUGGUGUAGCGGUGAAAUGCAUAGAUAUCACGCAGAACUCCGAUUGCGAAGGCAGCAUACCGGCGCUAAACUGACGCUGAUGCACGAAAGCGUGGGUAUCGAACAGGAUUAGAUACCCUUGUAGUC
rnacentral:rRNA from 1 species